rnacentral:rRNA from 1 species
AGAGUUUGAUCCUGGCUCAGGAUGAACGUUGGCGGCGUGCCUUAAGCAUGCAAAUCAAGGGGGUCGCCGUAAGGCGACUACCGGUGGACGGGUGAGUAAUGCGCGGGAAUGUACCUCGAAGUGGGAUAUAGCCAGCCGAAAGGUUGGGUAAUCUCCCAUGUGAUCGUAAGAUUAAAGCCGCAAGGCGCUUUGAGAUCAGCCCGCGUCCUAUCAGCUAGUUGGUGGGGUAAAAGCCUACCAAGGCGACGACGGGUAGCUGGACUGAGAGGUCGGUCAGCCACAAUGGGACUGCGACACGGCCCAUACACCUACGGGUGGCAGCAACUGGGAAUAUUCGACAAUGGGCGAAAGCCUGAUCGAGCGACGCCGCGUGGAGGAUGAAGGCCCUCGGGUUGUAAACUCCUUUUAUCGCCGAAGAUUAUGACGUUAGGCGAUGAAUAAGCACUUGCUAACUACGUGCCAGAAGCCUCGGUAAUGCGUAGAGUGCAAACGUUAUCCGGAUUUAUUGGGCGUAAAGAGUUGCGUAGGCUGUCCGAUAGAUUUUGCUUGAAAGCCCAUGGCUUAACCAUGGCAUUGGGCAAAAUAUCAUCGGACUUGAUGAUUGGAGAGGGUGCUGGAACCUAUGGUGUAGCAGUGAAAUGCGUUGAUAUCAUAGGGAACACCAAAGGCGUAGGCAGGCACCUAGUCAAUCCAUGACGCUGAGGCACGAAAGCUGGGGGAGCGAAACAGAUUAGAGACCUGUGUAGUCCCAGCCGUAAACUAUCUCUGCUAGAUAGCCGCCGCAAGGUGGCUGUCGCAGCUAACGCGUUAAGCAGAGCGCCUGGGGAGUACGAACGCAAGUUUAAAACUCAAAGGAAUUGACGGGGACCCGCACAAGCAGUGGAGCGUGUUGUUCAAUUCGAUACAAAACGAAAAACCUCACCAGGGUUUGACAUGUAGCUGCAAAUCCCAUGAAAGUGGGACUUCUUCGAGAGUGCUACACAGAUGCUGCAUGGCUAAUCCCGAUGGAUCGGGAUGAUGGCCGCUCCGAUAGUAAUGUCGGAGAAAAAUAACCAACCCAAAACGGUGAAGCCCGUAAUUGACUUUCGUAUAACUUUCGGGUUAUGCUGGAGUUAAUGGGUAAUACCGUGGGAAGCUGUUAUUGUAGAGGUUAGAUGUUAGAGGUCGGAAGAUGGAUAAAGAAAUUGGAAGUUUGAAGUUAGUAGGGUACAAUCAAAGUAAUGAUCCAAAGUUUUAAAGACUUAAGAGUGUAUCAGGAGUCUUAUGAUUUAGCUUUAGUUAUUAACAAAGCUAUUUUAAGAUUGCCUAACAGUGAAAAAUAU